rnacentral:rRNA from 1 species
CCUACGGGAGGCAGCAGUGGGGAAUUUUGGACAAUGGGCGAAAGCCUGAUCCAGCAAUGCCGCGUGCAGGAUGAAGGCCCUCGGGUUGUAAACUGCUUUUGUACGGAACGAAAAGCCUGGGGCUAAUAUCCCCGGGUCAUGACGGUACCGUAAGAAUAGGCACCGGCUAACUACGUGCCAGCAGCCGCGGUAAUACGUAGGGUGCAAGCGUUAAUCGGAAUUACUGGGCGUAAAGCGUGCGCAGGCGGUUUUGUAAGACAGUGGUGAAAUCCCCGGGCUCAACCUGGGAACUGCCAUUGUGACUGCAAGGCUAGAGUGCGGCAGAGGGGGAUGGAAUUCCGCGUGUAGCAGUGAAAUGCGUAGAUAUGCGGAGGAACACCGAUGGCGAAGGCAAUCCCCUGGACCUGCACUGACGCUCAUGCACGAAAGCGUGGGGAGCAAACAGGAUUAGAUACCCUGGUAGUCCACGCCCUAAACGAUGUCAACUGGUUGUUGGGUCUUAACUGACUCAGUAACGAAGCUAACGCGUGAAGUUGACCGCCUGGGGAGUACGGCCGCAAGGUUGAAACUCAAAUGAAUUGACGGGG